rnacentral:rRNA from 1 species
GACAGAGGGGGCAAGCGUUGCUCGGAAUCACUGGGCGUAAAGGGCGCGUAGGCGGGAUGGCAAGUCGGUCGUGAAAUCCUUCGGCUCAACCGAAGAACGUCGGCCGAUACUGCCGUUCUUGAGGGAUGCAGAGGAGAUUGGAAUUCCCGGUGUAGCGGUGAAAUGUGUAGAGAUCGGGAGGAACACCGGUGGCGAAGGCAGCUCGCUGGGACGGUACUGACGCUGAGGCGCGAAAGCGUGGGGAGCAAACAGG